rnacentral:rRNA from 1 species
CAGCCGCCGCGGGAAUACGAAGGGGGCUAGCGUUGCUCGGAAUGACUGGGCGUAGAGGGCGCGUAGGCGGCGAUCAAAGUCAGGCGUGAAAUUCCUGGGCUUAACCUGGGGACUGCGCUUAAUACAGGCAGUCUAGAGUGAGGAAGAGGGUUGUGGAAUUCCCAGUGUAGAGGUGAAAUUCGUAGAUAUUGGGAAGAACACCGGUGGCGAAGGCGGCAACCUGGUCCUUGACUGACGCUGAGGCGCGAAAGCGUGGGGAGCGAACAGGAUUAGAUACCCGCGUAGUCCCUGUCUCUUAUAU